CGGCACGGGUGCGUAACGCGUAUGCAACCUACCUUUAACAGGGGGAUAACACUGAGAAAUUGGUACUAAUACCCCAUAAUAUGGGCGCUCCGCAUGGAGAGCCCAUUAAAGAGAGCAAUUUUGGUUACAGACGAGCAUGCGCUCCAUUAGCCAGUUGGCGGGGUAACGGCCCACCAAAGCGACGAUGGAUAGGGGUUCUGAGAGGAAGGUCCCCCACAUUGGAACUGAGACACGGCCCAA
rnacentral:rRNA from 1 species